rnacentral:rRNA from 18 species
UAAACAUAUAUAUUAUUAUCCCCCUAAAAAAUUUCAUAAAAACAAAAAGAAUANCUACUUUUUGGCAACUGGCUGACAUAACUCAUAGUUUAUUUUAUAAGCGUUAGUCCCUAUAGCUUUGCGUCACUAAAUUUCUCUAGUUUUGCCGAUUUAGUUUUAUUCUACAAUUACAAUAAUACAAUAGAAUUGCUUAUUAUUCAAUAUACUUAUUUGAAAAUUAAAUAAAUUUACAAAUAUGAACGUUAUUUUAUAUCAAAAAAAUAGACUAUGCAUGUAGAAUAUAUGGAAAAACUUGAUUGUAGGUUUUGUAUGAAAAGACAGUUGUUAUUAAUUUAAGUGAGAUAAAUUGAGCAAUAGGCAUAAAAUGAGAAAACAAAUAAUAGCAGUUAAUUUUUAUUAUUAAUACUAGGUGAACAUUAAAUUUUAAAAUACCACUAGAUUUUAUAGAAUAAGAAAAUGAGACAAACAUAAAUAUAUGAAUAUAUUAAAUUAUACUUGAACAUACUUAUAUUUUAUGAUAAAAUUUCAAUAAUAAUUAUUAGUGAAGGAGUGUCUUGCCUGAUGUCAGAGUUAUAUAUAAUGGUAACCAACAAAUAAAUAGUUGGAGACGCAUAUGGGUUCUGUUUAAUCAGAAUUUUUAAGUGUAUUUUUGAUACAUUUGAUUGUUGUGUCUUACUCUGCCUUUAUAGAUAACUAACAUUAGACAACAAAUAAUAAUAUUACAUAUUACUUUGUUAAAUUGUGGUGUAGUGGGCUUUAAUCUGCUACACUUUUAUUAAUUUUACACAGUAUUAUUUUGAAUAUAAUUAUGUUGAAAUAGAAGAUACUAAAUUUUCUAGUCCACAGGGGUUUUCUGUUUUUGUGUAGGUAAAUAUGUAUACCACAUAAAAAGGCAGAUAUAAAUACCUGUGGACUUUUUUUGUAGAAAAUACACGAUACGGAGGAAAUAAAAAUGAAUUAUAAAAAUAGAAAACGAGCUUAUUAUCAGGAAAAUUCCUGUAUGGAUAACUUUAUUUGCAAAAAUUGUGGUUGCCUUGUAGUUCCUGAAGGAGCUGGUACACAACAUAGAAAUCAUUGUCCACAUUGUUUACAUAGUCUUCAUGUAGAUAUCAUUCCUGGUGACCGUGCUGCAGAUUGUGAUGCUAAUAUGGAACCUAUUGGAGUGUGGGUGAGAAAAAAUGGUGAGUGGGCAAUUAUUCAUCGUUGUACACGCUGUGGACAUCUUAGUUCUAAUCGUAUUGCAGCUGAUGAUAAUUCAGUGAAAUUAAUGUCAAUUGCAUUAAAACCACUGGCACAGCCCCCUUUCCCACUAGAAAGAAUCAUUGAAAAGUUGGAAAAGGAGGAAACAGAAUGAAUGGUAUGAAACAAAUCAAUUUACAAGACUAUGGUCUAAAUAGGAAUUUUAUUACUCAAAGUAUGGAAUAUCAUGAUUUAUACCUUGCUCGAA